UACGGAGGGUGCAAGCGUUAUCCGGAUUCACUGGGUUUAAAGGGUGCGUAGGUGGGUUGGUAAGUCAGUGGUGAAAUCUCCGAGCUUAACUUGGAAACUGCCAUUGAUACUAUUAAUCUUGAAUAUUGUGGAGGUCAGCGGAAUAUGUCAUGUAGCGGUGAAAUGCUUAGAUAUGACAUAGAACACCAAUUGCGAAGGCAGCUUACUACACAGUUAUUGACACUGAGGCACGAAAGCGUGGGGAUCAAACAGG
rnacentral:rRNA from 1 species